GAUGAAUGCUGGCGGCGUGCCUAAUACAUGCAAGUCGAGCGAAUGGAUUAAGAGCUUGCUCUUAUGAAGUUAGCGGCGGACGGGUGAGUAACACGUGGGUAACCUGCCCAUAAGACUGGGAUAACUCCGGGAAACCGGGGCUAAUACCGGAUAACAUUUUGAACCGCAUGGCUCGAAAUUGAAAGGCGGCUUCGGCUGUCACUUAUGGAUGGACCCGCGUCGCAUUAGCUAGUUGGUGAGGUAACGGCUCACCAAGGCAACGAUGCGUAGCCGACCUGGGAGGGUGAUCGGCCACGCUGGGACUGAGACACGGCCCAGACUCCUACGGGAGGCAGCAGUAGGGAAUCUGCCGCAAUGGACGAAAGUCUGACGGAGCAACGCCGCGUGAGUGAUGAAGGCUUUCGGGUCGUAAAACUCUGUUGUUAGGGAAGAACAAGUGCUAGUUGAAUAAGCUGGCACCUUGACGGUACCUAACCAGAAAGCCACGGCUAACUACGUGCCAGCCGCCGCAGUAA
rnacentral:rRNA from 1 species